rnacentral:rRNA from 1 species
AUGGCCGUAAUAACUCCGGUUGCCAGGCCACCCACGCCGCUCCUGGACCGAAGGUGCCCAUGCCAUUCCUCGCCCUUCUUAAGGACAAGGCCGAGGGCAAAUGCUACAGAUGUUUAUCCUCGCUCCACCGCAUCAAAGACUGCCAAGAUCCACCUACCUGCUUGCUCUGCGGGAACCCCAGCCACAAGGCACGGUGGUGCACCAACUAGCUUGAAAAGCCUCCGGCAAGCAAGCGGCUGGUUUUCCCUCCUGGCCACCCCAACUCUCUCCGCCUCCCAGCCUCCACCCGCAUUCUCUUCCCGCCAGACCACCCGGUCUCGCUCCGGGAGCCGGUAUCCUCACGCCUCACCCCCCACCAUCCAAGUCACCGUGUCCCGGCUUCCCCACGCCAUCUCCUCCAUGCCCCCCUCCAUCCUCGGACCGGUGCCGCACUCCCGCGAUCACACCCCCACACCCACCCCGGCGCCCCCUGCAAUGGAGUACGACAUGGUGCCUGGCGACGCGCGCAACAGGCCAGAGUUCGUCUCCGGAAUCGCGCCCUUCACCCCCGACAUGGCGACGGCGGAGCGAUUCCACGAGGCUCACGGUGCCAUGCUGAUCACCCUGGGCAACAGGCCACGCAUUCGUGUGGCCCAGGUGGUCGACGAGGUGGGCCGCCGCUUCGCCCUGGCGCCGGGCACGUUCUCCGUCACUAUGCUCGCCCGAGGAGGAGACUUCUUCGUGCUGUUCGACGACCGGAUGGUGCGCAACAUCGCCAUCAACAUGCCGGACGCGCUCCACAUCGGCCACGCCUCCCUCGCCUUCCGGCCUUGGACACGUCUUGUCAGAGCAGACCUGGUCCCGCUUCCCUUCCGCGCCCGUGUCUGCCUUGAGGGGGUGCCAAAGCACGGCAAGCAGCUGGAGACCGUGGCCGUCCUCUUCGACAAGUCCUUCCUCAUGGACUGCGUGGCCAACUACCAUCCCACCGACUAG